AUUGAACGCUGGCGGAAUGCUUUACACAUGCAAGUCGAACGGCAGCACGGACUUCGGUCUGGUGGCGAGUGGCGAACGGGUGAGUAAUGUAUCGGAACGUGCCCAGCCGUGGGGGAUAACAUAGUGAAAAUUACGCUAAUACCGCAUACGAUCUAUGGAUGAAAGCGGGGGAUCGCAAGACCUCGCGCGAUUGGAGCGGCCGAUAUCAGAUUAGGUAGUUGGUGGGGUGAAGGCCCACCAAGCCAACGAUCUGUAGCUGGUCUGAGAGGACGACCAGCCACACUGGAACUGAGACACGGUCCAGACUCCUACGGGAGGCAGCAGUGGGGAAUUUUGGACAAUGGGCGAAAGCCUGAUCCAGCCAUUCCGCGUGCAGGAUGAAGGCCCUCGGGUUGUAAACUGCUUUUGUACAGAACGAAAAGGUUUCUACUAAUACUAGGAGCUCAUGACGGUACUGUAAGAAUAAGCACCGGCUAACUACGUGCCAGCAGCCGCGGUAA
rnacentral:rRNA from 1 species